UACGAAGGGUGCAAGCGUUACUCGGAAUUACUGGGCGUAAAGCGUGCGUAGGUGGUGAGUUAAGUCUGUCGUGAAAGCCCCGGGCUCAACCUGGGAAUGGCGAUGGAUACUGGCUCGCUAGAGUGCGGUAGAGGAGAGUGGAAUUCCCGGUGUAGCAGUGAAAUGCGUAGAGAUCGGGAGGAACAUCAGUUGCGAAGGCGGCUCUCUGGACCAGCACUGACACUGAGGCGCGAAAGCUAGGGGAGCAAACAGG
rnacentral:rRNA from 1 species